rnacentral:lncRNA from 1 species
UGUAUGAGUGUGUGUGUGUGUGUGACAGUAAUAAAUCAUUGACCACCUCCCUGUUACACUCAGAGAUGUGAUUCAAGGGAGGCCUUGUUUCAGACAAAUGCACAAUUUCUGCCGCCACUGGUUUUGGGCGCCCCCUGGUGGUCAAAGCUUGCCACUCGCUCAUGGCCACCCACUAGAUUUGCGGAUGGGGCACUGGCGUCUAGCAGUCAAGGUAAUUUAAACCUUAGGAUCUACUCUGAAACAGGGAUAUGGAAAACAGACAGCAGGAGAGAAGGGUACCCUUGUGGGUUUGGACCAACGAUAACCAGAUCAUAAAGAGAAGAGAGGGUCCUGCCACCUCUGGGUGAGGGGAGCUGUGUCAGUUUUCCCUGCAAAAGACCAACAUGGGCCUGCUCUCCUUGGUUGCUGUGAGCGUACCUUCUGAAGUGUGUCGCAAUAAAAAAAAUCUGAAAUGUCCUAAAUUUAAUUACAAGGGUCAGAAGAUUGAGGGGGAGAAGAAAUAUGGAAGUUAAUUAGCUAACAGCUUCAGGGCAAACCAAUAAAUGACUGUCACACUCCUGAGUGGAUGCUGACUUACAACUCACGGUUGACCACAGGUGCCAUUGUGCCCUGUUUAUAUUAAACUUUGCAGACUCUUCACUCCUGCCAACCCAACUGCAACAAGGACCUCCGUAGGGACUCUCCUCCUACCCCAGGAGUCCUGCCUUCAGUGACCCGCCCCUCUUAGCUGUAGCCAGUGGAGGUCCAGGGUAAACCAUUCAUGCUUCUUCUCCAUUCUCCAUUCUGAAAAUGCUCUUGGCUCUUAGGGCCUGCAGACUUCCCCCAGCUGCUCUCCAGCCUUGCUGCUGGUGGUUGUGGAACUUGUCCCAGCGCCAUCUGUAAGUCUCAGUGGAUCCUUUUAUUUCAGACAUGUUUUGUUCUCCAGAGAUUUGACUUAACACUCUGCAAACAAAAAUGCCUUAAGAGCCAGGAGAUUCUUAGGCUCCUUUGAUCAGUGGUGGCCUUGGCUUCCUCUGACUGGAGAAUUCACAGCCAAGUACUCUCCAUUAUAUUCUUCUAGAUUCUCUUUCAUUUAGAUUGUGUUCCUUAAGCUCCAGGGCAUGCAUAUUCAUAUUUGUCAAUAUUUUGGGGUUUGGUAACUAAAUAAGCACUGAAAAAGGACUAUUGCUUUGGGCUGGGGAUAUAGUUCAGUUGGUGGAAAGCCUGCCUUGCAUGCACAAGGCCCUGGGUUCAAUCCCCAGCACCACACACACACAUGCUCUCUCUCUCUCUCUCUCUCUCUCACACACACACACACACACACACAAUCUUGCUCUGAGGAUGGUGACUUUCCCCCUAAAACUUUCCUUAUGAAGCACAUGACAAUAAAAAUAUUAUAAAACAAGGGUUCUUUCAGGUCCCUUCUUGUGCUGGGCAGAGCACACUCAGCCUGGAGUCUAGAGUUCUCCAUUGCCCUCUCAGAUCCUUACCCAAUGAUGGUCUCCUAGAGGCCUCAGGUUACUCAUCCAAAAGAAUGUUUAAAUUGCUUCUCCUACACCAAGUGCAGGGGGCGGGGCUUCUCUCUGGAAUUCCAUCAAUCUGCAUUAAGACCAAACCCACAAAAGGGAACCCAGUUGCCAACCAUCUUCAUCCUGGAAUCUCUUUAUUGAAGCAGUGACAGAGGAACACAGCCACCUCUGGAGGGACUUGAUUAUAAAAUACUGUCUGCCCCUUGGGCUCAUUCACAUUCCAAACAGAAUUCGUUUUGCAAACUAAUUUUUGUCUCUGGGUUCAUUCUUGCCUUAAUAAUCAUUUACAAUCCCUUAAAAUGCCUAGGGGGCCCAUUCUCCCAGUUCCCUUAUAGAAAAAAGUAUAUAAAUUGAAUCAUGCUGGGCUGCUGAGUGAUUCCAUUACGCGACUGCCUCCUUGCACAUAAUCAUUUUCUUUGUCCUUUCUCCUAUUUAAUCUGUAUAUUGUCCAUUCAUUCUAGCAAACUGAGUGGAGGAGAAUUUUCCCUUUGCCUCUAUACCUGAUGAUAAAUUAUAUACAGUAAAAAUUAUAUACAGAAGUCCUCCCUUAUCCAUGGACAAUACAUUCUAAGACCCCACUUGGAUGCCUGAAAUCAUGGAUAGUAUCAAACCCUAUAUACAAUUGAGAUAGCUGAUAAAUGACUGACAGGUAGCAUAUACAGCAUGGAUACACUGAACAAUGUCCCUGGUGGGAUGGAGCAGGACAUUGAGAGAUUUCACCAUGCUGUUAAGAAUGUUGUAUAAUUUAAAACUUACGAAUUGUUUAUUUCUGAAAGGGAAACCUCAGAUAAGUGGGAACUACUGUAACUUGAAUUAACAUCUGGGUUUAACUGGUAGUGUUGCUGAUGUGUAAAAUUUUGUGUUUUCAGGUUUUUAUUAAUGUUAUUCUUUUCUGUCUUUCAUCAUUAUUUUGAAGGGAAUGUAUUAUGGAACACAAAGAAAUAUUAAAAUUGCAAGAACAUGAAUACUAGUAAAUGUGACCAUUACUUCUUUUUUUUAAACAAAUAUAAUAAAUUGGAUAGAUUACUUCACAUAAAGUGUUUUAUUUGAGCUACUGUUUUGCAUUUGGACUAUUUUUAACUAGCCCAUAUUCUGUCUAAAAAUUCUAACAGGAUUUUUAAAUUCAAUAGGAUUUUUAAAUUUAAUUUUAAUUGGAAACAAUUUAUUGGAUAUUGGUUAAGAGAGGUUAUUUCAAACUUUGUAUGCAAGUUCCAACUCUUGCUGUCACUUUGGUGCUCUUCAGCAAGUUUUGUCAUCUGGAUAAAAGCUGCUAUUGAAUUUUCUUGCUUAGAUUAUGUGAUUUGGUUCAGAGGAAAAAAAAAACCCUGCUGUUAUAGUGUAUUUUGUUUCUCUAUAUUUUAAAUGGAAAAUUAUGUAAGGAGGUAAGUUAUACGUUUGUUUCCCACCUGUGGUAUUUAAAAUGUGG